GUUACACUUAUAAUGCAAUAAAAAAUUUUUGGUUAUAAUUAAUAAUAACAUUAAAUGGAUUAAUUAUUAAUUUUAUUAAGUGAAAUUUUUAAAAUUAAGAUAAGUCUAGAUGUAGUUUAUGAGGUUAAUAAAUUUAGAUUUAAAACUAGGAUUAGAUACCCUAUUAUUCUAAACGGUAUAUGAAUUUCCAGGUUAGUAGUAGUUAUGGUCUUGAAAAUUAAAGAAGUUGGCGGUACUUUAGUCUAUUCAGAGGAACCUGUCCUAUAAUCGAUGAUCCACGAUUUUUAUUACUUAUUUUAUUAGUUUAUAUAUCGCCGUAGAUUGAAUAUUUUUAAAAAAAAGGAAUGUUCAUAAUUUUUUAUGAGAAAGGAAUUCAGGUCAAGGUGUAGCUUAUAGAUAAGGAGAGAUGGGUUACAAUAAAUUUUUUUAUAUGGAUUAAUUUAUGAAAUUUUAUUAUGAAAAUGGAUUUGAAGGUAAUUUUAUUUAAAUAUAUAAAAUGAUUUUAGCUCUAAAGUAUGUACAUA
rnacentral:rRNA from 1 species